GUCGGCGAUCAUACCACGUUGAAAGCACCGGUUCUCGUCCGAUCACCGAAGUUUAGUGCGUCGGUGGCACAGCGGUUAGGACGCUCACCGACC
rnacentral:rRNA from 1 species